UUACGUAAUAAAGCUUGAGAAGUCGAUGUUUAACCACGAUAAUGUGGGCAUAGUCGUAAUUCCGGCAAACCGGAAGCGUUUCGGACGGCGGUUCGAUUCCGCCCACCUCCACCACUAAAAGUAUCAUUUUUACGAUAUGGGGGUGCACUGGCUUCGACGGGGCGAAAGAAGGCUAGCAGGCGACUCGUCAGGCGAUCGACGUUAAUGAAGCAAAUCUCUAAACGCCAACGAUGAGCGUUUUGCACUGGCCGCUUAAGGUCUAUGCCGAGGCCGCUUUAGCCUUGUAACCCAAGAAAAGCCGGCGGGGACUCCAUGAAAAUGGAGUCCCCGUCGUCA
rnacentral:tmRNA from 1 species